rnacentral:rRNA from 1 species
GACGGGGGAUGCAAGCGUUAACCGGAAUCACUGGGCGUAAAGCGUCUGUAGGUGGUGAUGCAAGUCACUGGUGCAAAACUCUGGCUCAACCGGAGGCAAGCCAGUGAAACUGCAUGACUAGAGUGAGGGAGAGGUAGAAGGAAUUCCCUGAGUAGCGGUGAAAUGCGUAGAUACUGGGAAGAACACCGGAGGCGAACGCGUUCUACUGGAACACAACUGACACUGAGAGACGAAAGCCAGGGGAGCGAAUGGC